rnacentral:lncRNA from 1 species
UCCGCUGCCAUUUUCCCCGGCAGUGCUAUAAAUAUUCAACAGGAGGAGGAACGGCGGCUCCUGGAGCUCCAGCUCCUUUGCUCCGGGCUGGGGGACACCGGGGUGACAUCCCCGGCAUGGGGGACACGGCCCCCACCGCAGUUUGAGCUGAAUAUUCCCGGUGAUCUGAGCUGGAGGUGUUUGAGGGCUGAAAGGGGGCGAAUGGAGGUUCUGGAGAGUGUUGGGACAUUUCCCAAAUUUGUGGAGAAGCGGGGGGCAGUGUCAGGAAUGUCGCCCACCCCCCAGGUGGGUGUCAGGCCCUGUGGUGGCCCCAUCCCAGGCAGAGCCCCAGAGUCCUCACAGAGCUCCAAAGGAAAGUAAGAAACCCCAAACCCACCCUACACCCCCGGAGGUUCUGAAUCCUCGUUCAGACCCCGGCCAGGGACCCCGCGAGCGGCAGCGCCACCUCCACGGCCACCAAAGGGGUGUCCCGAGGGUCCUGGUCGCCGCUUUUGGGAUCUCCCACGAGUCGCGAGGUGCGGCUGACACGGGGCACGCCAGGACCUGCAGCCCCACGAGAGGCGUGGGCAGCCGGGGGGAGGGAACGGGCGAGUUUCGGUGUCCCGUCCCCUCCCCGCGGGGACAACGUGCACCGGGACAGCUCCAGGCUUCCUCCCGCCGUGACCUCCAGCCUUUCCUCCGCUCUUCCUUGGCUUUUCCGCCGAGCCCGGAGCCGGGGCUGCCUUCCUGCCCCGGCCCCGCUUCCUGCCCUCCGAGCUCGGCGCUCCCGGCUUUCCCAGCUCCAUCCAUCCAUCCUCCCCGGGGCUCCUUCCCGAGCUUUCUCACAGGGGGACCCGGCCUCCUGAGCCCUUCCCGAGCCUCCGGUCCCCAGAGCUCCUCGUGGGACCCGUCCCCGACGCCGCUCGGGGGGCUCCAGGGGUCCCCGUUCCAUCCUCAGCUUCCUCCCAGCUCUGCGGAACAAACACCGAACGGAGCAAAUCUGUCCCCGGGCUCACCCCAGGGAGCGGCGAUUCCCCGAUUCCAAUCACUUUUGGGGAUCUGCGGCUGACCCAGUUUAUAAUCCACGGCUCAGGGCGGCGGGGAUCACACGCAGGACGCUGGGAAGGAGCGGGAGCUUUCCCGGAGCGCCCACACCCCCCCAGCCCGUGGUUUUUUGGGGAACUGAGAGUCCCGGGGCUGCUCCCGGCUCGGGGGUGCUGCUGAGGGCAGGACAUUCCCACGCUCAGCCCGAGGGUGUCCCCC